GAGGGAAAUUGAGGCUGGUUUUCUGGUCUUGAAAACCGGCAUAGGUUAAUAGCCUAUCCAGGGUUCGAAUCCCUGUCCCUCCGCCA
rnacentral:tRNA from 1 species